rnacentral:rRNA from 1 species
CCUACGGGUGGCAGCAGUGGGGAAUAUUGCACAAUGGGGGAAACCCUGAUGCAGCAACGCCGCGUGGGUGAAGGAGCGUUUCGGCGCGUAAAGCCCUGUCAGCGGGGAAGAAGAAAGACGGUACCCGACCAAGAAGCCCCGGCUAACUACGUGCCAGCAGCCGCGGUAAUACGUAGGGGGCGAGCGUUAUCCGGAAUUACUGGGUGUAAAGGGAGCGUAGACGGCGAGGUAAGCCUGAAGUGGAAGCCCGCGGCCCAACCGCGGAAUUGCACAUAAAACUGGUAAGCUGGAGUGCAGGAGAGGUAAGUGGAAUUCCUGGUGUAGCGGUGGAAUGCGUAGAUAUCGGGAGGAACACCAGAGGCGAAGGCGACUUACUGGACUGUAACUGACGCUGAGGCUCGAAAGCGUGGGGAGCAAACAGGAUUAGAUACCCCAGUAGUC